AACGAACGCUGGCAGCAGGCUUAACACAUGCAAGUCGAGCGCCCCGCAAGGGGAGCGGCAGACGGGUGAGUAACGCGUGGGAAUCUACCGAGCCCUGCGGAAUAGCUCCGGGAAACUGGAAUUAAUACCGCAUACGCCCUACGGGGGAAAGAUUUAUCGGGGUUUGAUGAGCCCGCGUUGGAUUAGCUAGUUGGUGGGGUAAUGGCCUACCAAGGCGACGAUCCAUAGCUGGUCUGAGAGGAUGAUCAGCCACAUUGGGACUGAGACACGGCCCAAACUCCUACGGGAGGCAGCAGUGGGGAAUAUUGGACAAUGGGGGCAACCCUGAUCCAGCCAUGCCGCGUGAGUGAUGAAGGCCUUAGGGUUGUAAAGCUCUUUCACCGGUGAAGAUAAUGACGGUAACCGGAGAAGAAGCCCCGGCUAACUUCGUGCCAGCAGCCGCCGCGGUAA
rnacentral:rRNA from 1 species